GAUGAACGCUAGCUACAGGCUUAACACAUGCAAGUCGAGGGACCGGCGCACGGGUGAGUAACACGUAUCCAACCUGCCCUUUACUCGGGGAUAGCCUUUCGAAAGAAAGAUUAAUACCCGAUGUAAAGGAUGGGGAUGCGUUCCAUUAGGUUGUUGGUGAGGUAACGGCUCACCAAGCCUUCGAUGGAUAGGGGUUCUGAGAGGAAGGGCCCCCACAUUGGAACUGAGACACGGGCCAAACGCCGACGGGAGGAAGAAGUGAGGAAUAUUGGUCAAUGGGCGUUAGCCUGAAACAGCCAAGUAGCGUGAAGGAUGAAGGGUUAUGGGUCGUAAACUUCUUGUAUAUAAGAAUAUGUAUUAUAUGAAUAAGGAUCGGCUAACUCCGUGCCAGCAGCCGCGGUAAUAC
rnacentral:rRNA from 1 species